AGUCUUAUAGUCAUGGAUUAUGAUUUAAAAUUGCAAAUUUUAAGGUAUAUAAAAAUAUUAAGGCUU
rnacentral:tRNA from 1 species